rnacentral:lncRNA from 1 species
CCCUCUCCUUCCCAUGCAGCUACUUGAGUUUAUGUUUGUAUGUUAGUUUUCCUUGAAGGACCUCAGAUUCAUUUACCUUUCUUUGCUAUAAUGGGAGAAUAAGGUUUCCAUCUGGCAAUAUGCCAACAUUUUGUCUAAAUGUUUGCAUUUAAUUAGCGGUUUCUUGCCAGCCUUUGCCCAAGGAGGUGGGUGGGAGAAUCCCAGAUACUUGCACUUGCUACCGUGUACACCUAUGUUAAGGGUUAAUGCAGUACAUCACUUCUGUCUUGCAUUUUCAUCUACUUCCUACUUGCCCGCUUAAAAUUUAUUCAGAAAUGAGUAAGUAACAUCCUCGUGCUCAGGACUGUGAGAGAAUGCUAAUGGGGAUCUGCCUCUUGUUCUCAGCAGUUGUGCUAAAACAGUGGAUGUAUUUUCCUCUCAUUCCCUGAGACAUAAAGAGAGGCUUUCUGAAGGGUUGCUUGCAACCAAAACUCAUGUUUAAUGUUAGAAGCUCUGCUUGGUCUCUUUCAGUUUGAAACUGCUCUAGCUUAGUUAAGGGAGCCAGAUGUAACACAUUGACCUUAAAUGGUAAAAGCUCCCAGAGUGAGCAGAAGAGAGAGAAGGGAGGUUUUCCUGAAGGGGGAAAACAAGAGGAAUAGCUCAGUUUUAGGUAAGUAAUCUCCAUAAACCAAGAAUAAACAGCUUUCUUCAGCUAAGAUCCAAAACGGAAGCCUUUUUCCUCCUUAAAGGUGGGUGCUCCGUACUCCAAAACAACCUUUGUGCUGCCGGUUUAUUCUCCGUCUGUGACCUCCAGUGCCGCAUGGCUCUUAGACAGUGAUGCUUCCAAGCUUCAGACAUCACUCAUAGAUGCGCUGAAUUUAGAACAGAUUUCAACUCAAAAGAGAUGUUGUUGGACGUUUCCUAAUCUGUUCUUCCUGGGCCAGACACAGGGAUCCAAAGAGAAACUCAUAAACAAGAAAAAGCAUGCCUACAAAACAGAACAUGGGGAAAACAUUAAAAGAGCAUUUGAGGUCAACAGCCAGGCUAACAGUGAAGAUGGAAUAAAGUACCUUUAUUUGCCAAGACAUUCAGCUGUGAUUCAGAAGGUAAGUUUACUGAUUAUUUGUAUACAACUUCUCUGUUGUGGUCAAAUGCGCUGUAAGAAGGGAACAGUUCUGCAAGCCAAGCAUUUCUAAAUAGUUUUUCCUUUUAUGGAAUAAAAUUCCUUAAACAUCACUUCCUGGGUAUGGU